CACACUGGUGGUGUUGUUGGUCGACGACAAGCAAGAACAAAAGGGGGAAAACCCUAGCUUUCAAGAAUUCUCAAGAUUUGGAAGGAAUUGAGAGCCCAAAUCGAUGCAAGAACCCGAAUUGUCAACCAUCUAAGUUCUAACAACAAUAGGCGUGAAGGAGGAAAGCUCUAACACUAGUAAAGCGGAAGGAGCACAAGAUCGAGGUAAAGCACCUCUAUAGGCGAUUUGGAGAUAUGGGACGAGCACAUGUUCAAGCCUUAAGAUACCAUGCGCUUCCGCAACUUAUAUGCAUGCUUUUGGAUCGUGUUUAUUACUUGUUGACUUGUUGAAAUGUUUUAGAAUUAAAAACUUGUCGUUUUUGUUGGGAUAGUUUUAUGUUAAAUGGGUCGUAGUGUAAACGUUGUAAGUUAGGUAAAAACAGGGAGUAUGUUCGUUUUACAAACGGGUCAUGCCCAAUUUUUGUAAAAAUUUCAUUAAGCGUCAAAGUGGUACC